AACGUAGGUGGCGAGCGUUUAUCCGGAGUUACUGGGCGUAAAGGGUGCGCAGGCGGUGGCCCCGCGUGGGCGGUGAAAGCUCCUGGCUCAACUGGGAGAGGGCCGUCCAGACGGGGUCACUUGAGGGGCGGAGAGGGGCGUGGAAUUCCGGGUGGAGCGGUGAAAUGCGUAGAGAUCCGGAGGAACACCGACGGCGAAGGCAGCGCCCUGGCCGCCAUCUGACGCUCAGGCACGAAAGCUGGGGGGAGCGAACAGG
rnacentral:rRNA from 1 species